GGUUGGAUGGCCGAGCGGUCCAAGGCGCCAGACUAAGGACCAGCUUCAAUCUGAAGCUUCACUUGCUAGAUAACUUUGGCAAUCUGGUCCAUUCGUGGGCGUGGGUUCGAAUCCCACUCCAAUCA